rnacentral:tRNA from 1 species
UGGGGCGUCGCCAAGCGGUAAGGCUGCGGGUUUUGGUUCCGCCAUUCGAAGGUUCGAAUCCUUCCGCCCCAG